GAAUGCUGACAUAAGUAACGAUAAAGCGGGUGAAAAGCCCGCUCGCCGGAAGACCAAGGGUUCCUGUCCAACGUUAAUCGGGGCAGGGUGAGUCGACCCCUAAGGCGAGGCCGAAAGGCGUAGUCGAUGGGAAACGGGUUAAUAUUCCCGUACUUGGUGUUACUGCGAAGGGGGGACGGAGAAGGCUAUGUUGGCCGGGCGACGGUUGUCCCGGUUUAAGCGUGUAGGUGUGUGUUCCAGGUAAAUCCGGUUCACUUUAACACUGAGGCGUGACGACGAGGCACUACGGUGCUGAAGCAACAAAUGCCCUGCUUCCAGGAAAAGCCUCUAAGCAUCAGGUAACAUCAAAUCGUACCCCAAACCGACACAGGUGGUCAGGUAGAGAAUACCAAGGCGCUUGAGAGAACUCGGGUGAAGGAACUAGGCAAAAUGGUGCCGUAACUUCGGGAGAAGGCACGCUGACACGUAGGUGAAGUGAUUUACUCAUGGAGCUGAAGUCAGUCGAAGAUACCAGCUGGCUGCAACUGUUUAUUAAAAACACAGCACUGUGCAAACACGAAAGUGGACGUAUACGGUGUGACGCCUGCCCGGUGCCGGAAGGUUAAUUGAUGGGGUCAGCGCAAGCGAAGCUCCUGAUCGAAGCCCCGGUAAACGGCGGCCGUAACUAUAACGGUCCUAAGGUAGCGAAAUUCCUUGUCGGGUAAGUUCCGACCUGCACGAAUGGCGUAAUGAUGGCCAGGCUGUCUCCACCCGAGACUCAGUGAAAUUGAACUCGCUGUGAAGAUGCAGUGUACCCGCGGCAAGACGGAAAGACCCCGUGAACCUUUACUAUAGCUUGACACUGAACAUUGAGCCUUGAUGUGUAGGAUAGGUGGGAGGCUUUGAAGUGUGGACGCCAGUCUGCAUGGAGCCGACCUUGAAAUACCACCCUUUAAUGUUUGAUGUUCUAACGUGGACCCGUUACCCGGGUUGCGGACAGUGUCUGGUGGGUAGUUUGACUGGGGCGGUCUCCUCCUAAAGAGUAACGGAGGAGCACGAAGGUUGGCUAAUCCUGGUCGGACAUCAGGAGGUUAGUGCAAUGGCAUAAGCCAGCUUGACUGCGAGCGUGACGGCGCGAGCAGGUGCGAAAGCAGGUCAUAGUGAUCCGGUGGUUCUGAAUGGAAGGGCCAUCGCUCAACGGAUAAAAGGUACUCCGGGGAUAACAGGCUGAUACCGCCCAAGAGUUCAUAUCGACGGCGGUGUUUGGCACCUCGAUGUCGGCUCAUCACAUCCUGGGGCUGAAGUAGGUCCCAAGGGUAUGGCUGUUCGCCAUUUAAAGUGGUACGCGAGCUGGGUUUAGAACGUCGUGAGACAGUUCGGUCCCUAUCUGCCGUGGGCGCUGGAGAACUGAGGGGGGCUGCUCCUAGUACGAGAGGACCGGAGUGGACGCAUCACUGGUGUUCGGGUUGUCAUGCCAAUGGCACUGCCCGGUAGCUAAAUGCGGAAGAGAUAAGUGCUGAAAGCAUCUAAGCACGAAACUUGCCCCGAGAUGAGUUCUCCCUGAGACUUAAAGUCUCCUGAAGGAACGUU
rnacentral:rRNA from 2 species